GAUGAACGCUAGCGGCAGGCUUAAUACAUGCAAGUCGAGGGGCAGCAUGAAUGUAGCAAUACAUUUGAUGGCGACCGGCAAACGGGUGCGGAACACGUACACAACCUUCCUAUAAGUGGGGAAUAGCCCAGAGAAAUUUGGAUUAAUACCCCGUAACAUAAUGAUGUGGCAUCACAUUAUUAUUAUAGCUUCGGCGCUUAUUGAUGGGUGUGCGGCUGAUUAGAUAGUUGGCGGGGUAACGGCCCACCAAGUCUACGAUCAGUAGCUGAUGUGAGAGCAUGAUCAGCCACACGGGCACUGAGACACGGGCCCGACUCCUACGGGAGGCAGCAGUAAGGAAUAUUGGUCAAUGGACGCAAGUCUGAACCAGCCAUGCCGCGUGAAGGAUUAAGGUCCUCUGGAUUGUAAACUUCUUUUAUCUGGGACGAAAAAAGGCUAUUCUUAGUCACUUGACGGUACCAGAUGAAUAAGCACCGGCUAACUCCGUGCCAGCAGCCGCGGUAACAC
rnacentral:rRNA from 1 species